rnacentral:rRNA from 1 species
UACGUAGGGUGCGAGCGUUGUCCGGAAUUACUGGGCGUAAAGAGCUCGUAGGUGGUUUGUCGCGUUGUUCGUGAAAACUCACAACUCAAUUGUGGGCGUGCGGGCGAUACGGGCAGACUGGAGUACUGCAGGGGAAACUGGAAUUCCUGGUGUAGCGGUGGAAUGCGCAGAUAUCAGGAGGAACACCGGUGGCGAAGGCGGGUCUCUGGGCAGUAACUGACGCUGAGGAGCGAAAGCGUGGGGAGCGAACAGG